rnacentral:rRNA from 1 species
UGCAGUCGUGCGAGAAAGUACCUUCGGGUGCGAGUAGAGCGGCGGACGGGUGAGUAACGCGUAGGAAUCUACCUAGUAGAAGGGGAUAGCCCGAGGAAACUCGGAUUAAUACCGUAUACCUCCUUAGGGAGAAAGAGGGCUUAGCUUUGAUGCUCUCGCUAUUAGAUGAGCCUGCGUAAGAUUAGCUUGUUGGUGAGGUAAUGGCUCACCAAGGCGACGAUCUUUAGCUGGUCUGAGAGGACGAUCAGCCACAUUGGGACUGAGACACGGCCCAGACUCCUACGGGAGGCAGCAGUGGGGAAUAUUGGACAAUGGGCGCAAGCCUGAUCCAGCCAUACCGCGUGUGUGAAGAAGGCUUUCGGGUUGUAAAGCACUUUAAGUAAGGAGGAAAAGAUUGUAGUUAAUACCUGCAAUCCGUGACGUUACUUACAGAAUAAGGACCGGCUAAUUCCGUGCCAGCAGCCGCGGUAAUACGGAAGGUCCAAGCGUUAAUCGGAAUUACUGGGCGUAAAGCGCGCGUAGGUGGUUUUUUAAGUUGGAUGUGAAAGCCCUGGGCUCAACCUAGGAACUGCAUCCAAAACUAGAUGACUAGAGUACGAAAGAGGGAAGUAGAAUUCACAGUGUAGCGGUGGAAUGCGUAGAUAUUGUGAAGAAUACCAAUGGCGAAGGCAGCUUCCUGGUUCUGUACUGACACUGANGUGCGAAAGCGUGGGUAGCGAACAGGAUUAGAUACCCUGGUAGUCCACGCCGUAAACGAUGACAACUAGCUGUUGGGAGACAAGAUCUCUCAGUGGCGCAGCUAACGCUUUNAGUUGUCCGCCUGGGGAGUACNNCCGCANG